GCUGACUUAGCUCAAUUGGCAGAGCAUCGGUUUUGUAAACCGACGGUUGUAGGUUCAAUUCCUAUAGUCAGCUCCA
rnacentral:tRNA from 1 species